rnacentral:rRNA from 1 species
UACGAAGGGGGCUAGCGUUGCUCGGAAUCACUGGGCGUAAAGCGCACGUAGGCGGAUUGUUAAGUCGGGGGUGAAAUCCUGGAGCUCAACUCCAGAACUGCCUUCGAUACUGACGAUCUCGAGUCCGGGAGAGGUGAGUGGAACUCCGAGUGUAGAGGUGAAAUUCGUAGAUAUUCGGAAGAACACCAGUGGCGAAGGCGGCUCACUGGCCCGGUACUGACGCUGAGGUGCGAAAGCGUGGGGAGCGAACAGG